UACGUAGGGGGCAAGCGUUGUCCGGAUUUAUUGGGCGUAAAGAGCGUGUAGGCGGCCAGGUAGGUCUGCUGUGAAAACUCGAGGCUUAACCUCGAGCUGUCGGCGGAAACCAUCUGGCUAGAGUCCGGAAGAGGAGAAUGGAAUUCCCGGUGUAGCGGUGAAAUGCGCAGAUAUCGGGAAGAACACCCGUGGCGAAGGCGGUUCUCUGGGACGGGACUGACGCUGAGACGCGAAAGCUAGGGUAGCAAACGGG
rnacentral:rRNA from 1 species